rnacentral:rRNA from 1 species
CCUACGGGAGGCUGCAGUGAGGAAUAUUGGUCAAUGGGCGCGAGGCUGAACCAGCCAAGUAGCGUGAAGGAUGACUGCCCUACGGGUUGUAAACUUCUUUUAUAAAGGAAUAAAGUUAUGCACGUGUGCCUUUUUGUAUGUACUUUAUGAAUAAGGAUCGGCUAACUCCGUGCCAGCAGCCGCGGUAAUACGGAGGAUCCGAGCGUUAUCCGGAUUUAUUGGGUUUAAAGGGAGCGUAGAUGGGUUGUUAAGUCAGUGGUGAAAGUUUGCGGCUCAACCGUAAAAUUGCAAUUGAUACUGGCAGUCUUGAGUACAGUUGAGGUAGGCGGAAUUCGUGGUGUAGCGGUGAAAUGCAUAGAUAUCACGAAGAACUCCGAUUGCGAAGGCAGCUUACUAAGCCGCAACUGACAUUGAUGCUCGAAAGUGUGGGUAUCAAACAGGAUUAGAUACCCCAGUAGUC